UUCUUUCUCCACCAUACCAUUGCCGUACCUCACCCAUUGAAAACCAAAGCUUUGUUUUGUCUUUCUUCCACCAAAGCCAAGCCAAAUCUCACCCAAUCAACUUCUUGCCUUAAUUAAAACUCACCCUAAGACCAAGAGCUAAAGGAACAGCCAUAUAUUGAAGGAAUUGAAGAAGAGAAGUUUAGGGUUCCAUAUGCACCAAGCUUGAAAAUCAAAGGUGAGCUUAGAAAUGUGUAGGAAAUAACAUCUUCUCAUUUCUUCAUGUAUGAAUUUGAAUUAUACAGUUUUAAUUUAUAGUUUAUUCAAUACUUUCCUAAGAUAUAAAUUGACCUAGGUGAAGGAACAUCAAAGGGAAAGGAGAUAGCUAGAUAAUAGAAGAGGAAAAGAAAGAGAAAUUCAAGAAAAGUUUGGUGUUUGAAUGAUUUUCUGUUUUCCUUUGAUUCUGCAAUGAAUAAGUGAAAUUAGGGGUUGAUUUUACUUGCUGGAAAUGUUGUUUUGAUUGUAUAAAUAUGUUAUAUGAAUGUCAAAAUGAUGUUUGAAAGAUGUAGAGUAAAGAAAUUUAACAUGAGAGCUAAAAGUGCAAACUUGGCAGAAUAGAUUGUAACAUGGCAGCUUGUGUUAAUAACUUUAUAACUUAUUGUGUAUUUAUGUAAAGUAGGCCUAAGAUAUACAAAAUAAAAGCUGAGACAAAAAUCUAAAACUUUCAUGAAUUGACCAAAUUCUGAAUCUGUAGGUAUCAACUAUGACAUGAUGUCUAAUUUUCAUAUGUAUUACAUGUUAACGUGCUAAUGGCACAGAGGAAAUUCUGCCGAAAAUUUUGGUUUACAAAUCUCACAUUUAUGUUAAUUACUUGAUGAAAUUUACAUGCAUUACCUAAAAACUUAGUAUUUACAGAUAAAAGAAAUUGUGUAGUCUGAAUAUAUCUAAAAAGGCAUAGUUUGUGAUAUUUCUUGCUCUGAUAGGGUGAGGGGUGUUACAUCCAUCACAUUUCUAAACAUGAUAAUUAAUAAAAAGAAAGUUAAUUAAAUCAAAUACAUUCAAAAUAUUUAAAUUUGUAAUAAAAGGAAAAGAAUUUAUGUGAUGUUGUUAUCCUAAAUAGGAGGUAAAUCAAAUCCGGUUGAAAUUUUAAAGAAUUUAAAAUUGGUUUGUUAAAUUGUUUUCAAGAUUAAAUUUGUUUAUUUUAAACUCAAAUCGAGUAUUAAUAAAUUAAAAAUUAAUUCAUCUAAUAAAUAAAUUUUCGCAAAUCGAAUUUAGUUAUAAUAAUUUAUGAAUAAUUUAAUUUAAUUAAAAUAUAAUAAAUUUUAAUAUAAAAAACUCUUAAUCUCAACCAUGCAAAUGUCUAUAAGUUUUAAAAAUAUAAUUAAACUAUAUAGAAUUAAAUUUUAAAAAAUUUAAAUUCGACUCAUGAAAAUUUAUGUAAGGUGUGAAUUUAAUCCUCUCAUGACAUUGAUUUUAAUCAGCUUAAUGAGUUUACUUGUGAGCAUUCUUAUAAACUCAAAAAACGAACUUAAUUCAUGAAUUUCAACGAAUUAAAUAUUAAAAAACUCAAAUUUAAUUAAACGAAACUAAACACUAAUUUUGAGUUCAACUUAUUUAAAAAUAGAGUCAAGCCAAAUUAAAUUUUUUAAAAAUUUUAAAUGAGUUAUAAAUAAUUUAAUUCAUUUAUAACUUUAAUUAUAAACAAAUUAAACAGUUUUUUAUUUAAAAAAGUACAGCGAAUUAAAAAUAUGGAGUUUAAAUUUCUUUAAUUAAUUAUAAUAAAUUUAUCUUUUGUUAAUGGGAAAUAUUAAAGUGUGAAUGUUAUCUUUAUUGUACAUAUAAAUUAUUACUUGAUCUAUUAAAUUUUAUAAUUUAAAAAAAAUCAUAAAGAGUGAUAUUAAUUAAUUCAAUGGGCAAUGGGUAGCUGAGGAAGCUUGAGAAGUUGAUGCAUUCUUGUUGAAUUCAUCACAUGGAAAUGGACAUGCCUAGCUGUUGCUAUUUGGGACUAAGUUAUGAGGAAACUUGAAAGAAACCUUGGGAGAUGUGAAUUUGUGUUGUCUGGCUCAGUCAACAGCCUAAAAGAAACUUGUCUAUGAGCUAACCCAAUACAAUUAAUGAAACAAGGAUAAUCUUAAAGAGGAAGACACGAUAUGGAGGAAAUUUUCCCACAAACAAGUGUGAACUCUCCACCUACCAGCUUUUCAAUUCAAUCAAUGGUGUCUAUACUCUACACAUCAAUUUAUAUAUUGAAGCCUUUGUGAAUUUACACUUGCACUUCAUUUAUAAAAAUAUAAUAUUUAAUUUAAAGUUGAAUAAUUUCUAGAUGUGAAAACAAAAUUUGAUUAAAAAUUUAGAAUUUGAAGUUUAAACUUUUAAUUAUGAAAAGUUUAAUAAUCAUUAAAAUAAUUGAUAUUGUUCAAGUUCAAAAUACUAUCAAAAUGUAAUUUGAAUUCGCCUGUUGAGAAUCAGAUUAAUGGAGCAGAACUAGUUAGCUUUAGGCUUGGCUAUUUCAGUUGGGCUCUAUUCGUCCAAAACUUGGACUACUCGGCUCAUUUCAGUUGGGCUUGAUUUAGGCCUCAUUUUCCAUGCUCAAGGACUCAUUUUAGUUCAGAGAUAUUAUCCAAUUCCAUAAAUUUUAUGGACACUAAGAGUUUAGAUACUAUAAAAUUUGAGAAAUUUUACAAAUUUAUAAUAGUCCUCAUGGCCUUUGGGUAAUGUCUAUGACAGGGCAAAUUUUAUCAGCAAAUUUGCAGAGGAACAAAAGUUUCAGAAAGCCAACAUUAUUU
rnacentral:lncRNA from 1 species